rfam:Monodelphis domestica chrTn_v05.000019 genomic scaffold, whole genome shotgun sequence.
CAAAAUGUAGCUUAAUUUAUUAAAGCAUUUAGCUUACACCUAAAAGAUUUCAGUUAAUUCUGACCAUUUUGA